UACCAGCUCUCCGAGUUGUGGGGACGUUUAUUGAGCCUGAAGCAUCCGUAGCCGGCUGGGCAAGUCCUCUGUUAAAUCCAGCGACUAAUCGUUGGCCUGCGGGGGAUACUGCUCGGCUAGGGGGCGGGAGAGGCCGUCGGUAUUCUUGGGGUAGGGGUGAAAUCCUAUAAUCCCAGGAGGACCACCAGUGGCGAAGGCUGUCGGCUAGAACGCGCCCGACGGUGAGGGAUGAAAGCUGGGGGAGCGAACCGG
rnacentral:rRNA from 1 species